CCACCCUGCCACAGCUUCGGGACGACUGGAUCGCCGCGCCUGGGCCGGAGCGAGCCAUCUGCGGGCACUAUGCAAAGCGGGAGACGGCGCGAGCGGCGCCCGGCUCACACUAGCUCUUCCAGGACGCAGGUCUUUUUUUUUUUUUUUCUUUUUCUUUUUUCAUUUCCCAGAUACAGCUGAUCGAGUUCGCCGAGUGGCCGAGCGAGUGAGCGCUCCUCCGACUUGGGUGGAGGAAGGCACGGAAAAGUAUACGGGAGAAAAAGUGGGGGUUUUAGGGGUGGGGGUGGCAUAGGAGGAGGGAGGGGGGGAUCUGCAAAUCAUUCCACUUUUUAAACGAUCAUAGGUAGUGUCAAGGAUACGUGUCACCCUUGGUUCCUUUUAAAGGGGAGGUGGACAAUAAAAUACAGGUAGGUUUGGUAUUAAAAUAAUAGGUGCCAGAGGUUUCACAUCGGGUCCGCUGCAUCUGUUAUUAGACGAAGAUCAACAUUGGCUGAGUCCCAGUUUAUCUCCAGUCCAAAUUAUCAGGAAGAGGAAUAUUUACCCUUGGUUACCUCUGACAUUAGUUGGAUUGUAGGUAAAGCAGCCUUUAAAAAUAUAUAUGUUGCAAACAUCUGGCGAUUACCCUUCACUAAUUCACUCGCCCCAGAAAGACCAAAGAUAGCUGUUCAAUACAGGAUUUACACAGUUUUGACGCCUGGGCAACAAACUUUAAAGUUUAUUAGGCAAGAAAUUUCAAACGCAUAAAUCGCAGGCUCUAAAAUAAAGCCCUAGAAAAUUUACUUUGGUUUGACAUUUCUUGCUUGAAAAAUAACCAGCAAAAUUUCUUUAGAUAAUGUGGCUCUUAAAGAUCUCCUUGGGCUUUGCAAGUUACAAAUGCAAGCGAGCCUCAGCCGCAGCUAGAACGUCCCUUUCACCGGGCACAGUAAACGGCUUUUAAUAAAGCAGCCGCGUUUAUGACCUAAAGAUCCUAUAAAAGCUGGGACUUGCAAGAGCUGCGAAGCAGAAACAUUCAUACAUAGUCUAUUAGACACUCAUUUUUGUAAGUAGGAGGAGGACAAGUAGUCUUCGUGUGUCCCUCAAAUUUAAUCAGAUCAAAGGUUGAAUCAUGCUGUGUCGUGACAACAGGGUAUUUAUGAGGUGUGUUACAAGUACACUGGCCAAACACUACCAAUGUCUUCUGCGACACACACACACACACACUCCUUCCUAGGGAAUUUACAAUUUCAGCCUCAAAUUCACCAAACCGUAAAGAGGAUAUUAAGCCCUCCCUUUGAAUAAGAAUAGCGAUGUUAGUAUGUCCGAGUCUAUCCCGGCAGGAAACUUUUGGCACGAAUUUCAAACAGUGAAAAGGAGAAAAAAAAUUAGGUCGGUCAGGUUAGGUGUCGGCGAUAAGAAAAGAGAUUGCGGGAGCAUCCCCAGCCUUCUUCUUUCCCCUUUUGCCGCCCCCACACACUCCCCCCACGCGUCUAUCACGGAAGCAACACAGAGGAGCGCACACGCACCACUCACACCUCCAACUAUUGACUGUUGUAUCAGGUGUUCUAACCGGGAUGUGACAGUUGAGGCUGGGAGCAGAAAUAAUCAACAUGCCCAUUAGAUACAGGACGGAAUAAUGCUUCUAUUGGUUGGGUCCCUUCGAGAUCCUAAACAAACCAAUUCUGAGAAUUACAACCAGAUUCAGUUGAGAGGCAAAAGUGGACGUGGAUUUUGGAAAAGGGUGCCUAAGGACUUCCAGGUCAGCCACCCACCGCUACCACCACCACCACCGCCACCACUACCACCAUCACUAUCAGCACCCUGAAGAAGGGAAGAGAGGAAAACCAACCCCAGGGUGCAGGCCUGCCUGCUGCAAGCUUUCUAGAGGCAAAACUGACUGACGGCCUCUCACUCUCAUCUCCUGUGCUCAGUGUGACGCCAAGCCCAACCUGGAUUUGUUCUGAAUGGGGGGGAAGUGAAAUGCCACAAGAUCAGUAGCAAGUAGCAGCUGCAGCGUUUUCUCUCCUGGGAACCCCACUGCUUAGAAGCCUCCUGAGUGAUGUUUGUUUAACCAACAGCUUUCAAAGUAAACAGAAGCCAAUCACUCCAAAGAAGUUGAAAUAUAACCCUUACAAGAAUUUGGAUCCAGGGGUGCUGGCAGAAAGAAAGUAAUUUUUAAAAUGAUAAAGAACCCACUCCCAAAUAAGAGUCUGCCACAUUGCUUUAAGGAGCGCAGAAUUGUCAUGAAAAUAUAAUUUCAUCGAAAGGGCUAAUUACAAUAAGUUGACCUCGAAGAAAAUCACUCUUCGCCCACAAAGACACACCCGCGGGGAUGAGGAGGUUGUCAGUGAUUGAAGGGACACACUACUACUUGAUUUUAUGGAAGUGGGCGAAAACAAUCAAAGGGAAGUACAUUCCCUGCCCUGGAGUAGUGAAGUGUAGGCUGGGAGCUCUUCGCCGCCAACCCUGGCUUUGCCUCAGGCACCGAACUUUCCAAUACCAAGAUAUUAACAGAUGGUGGUGAGCACAUGGAGGGCUGCUACUUACAUAAUCUAGCCACUCCGCCCGGCUGCCCAGAGCCCGGCGAGGAACCGGCCAGGCCGCGCGCGCGCCUUCCGAGGGGUGCUCCCUGACAUAACUUGCCUUUCUCCAACCCCACCCAUCGUUUUGAGGGUUAGCAUUUGGAGAGGCCGUGAUUUAAAAAAACCAAACAAAAACAAAAACACCCAAAACAUUGAUUUGGCUGUGCUUUGUCUUCUUCAGUCCAUAGUAGCGAAGAAGCUGGAAACCCAAAGGCUGAGAGAAACGGAGGGGAUGCCUUCGGCGAGAAAGGGGUGCUCUCCCUACGUAUCUGGGGGUUCCCGCGAGUGGAAUUUACACAAUUUACAACACUCUUGCCCACCAUCUUUGGUUCAAAUCCACAUAUCUUUUGCUGUCGCUUAAGUACAAAGGCAGUCUCGGGCCGCAACUCAAGGGGAGUGAGAUGGGGUGAGGGUGUGAGUGUGAAGGGGACACCUUUGCACGCGGGGGCGCAGUGGGCAAAGUUACGCAAAGCCUCUGGGCACCGCUACACUUCCAAGCUGUGGCAGGGUUUUAAGCGCUCGAUCCCGCUCGCAGGGAGUCCCUUUCGGAUGUGUGGCCGCCUGCUGCCUUCACGCCCUCAGCCGCCUCCCAAGAGGCCCUGUCCCUCCUGGUGUGCCUGUGUACCUCCUCCAGUGUGCCAGGGCACGUGUGCUUCCCGAGCCUCCUCCCUGACUGCGACUCGGGACCGCCGAAUCCUGCGAGGAAUACGCCUGCGUGUGUUGGAAAAGUUUCGGGUUGGGCAGGAAGGCUGGGAAUCUCCUCUCCAGGCACUCGGCAGGAGCGGGGCUUCCUCGCCCGCGGCUUCCUCCCAGUGCCCUCCUCCCUCCCCGGCCCGCCCUUCCUAGCCUCGGCCCCGCGCUAGGUGUCGCGGC
rnacentral:lncRNA from 1 species